rnacentral:rRNA from 1 species
AUUAACGCUAGCGGCAGGCAUAAUACAUGCAAGUUGAACGGCAGCACAGGUAGCAAUACUGGGUGGCGAGUGGCGCACGGGUGCGUAACACGUAUGCAACCUACCCUAUACAGGCGAAUAACCUUUAGAAAUGAGGGCUAAUACGCCGUAGUAUUACAGAUGGGCAUCUAUUUGUAAUUAAAGAUUUAUCGGUAUAGGAUGGGCAUGCGUCCCAUUAGUUAGUUGGUAAGGUAACGGCUUACCA